rnacentral:rRNA from 1 species
UACGUAGGUGGCAAGCGUUGUCCGGAUUUACUGGGCGUAAAGAGCGCGCAGGCGGUCAGAUAAGUCGAAUGUGAAAGCCCCCGGCUCAACUGGGGAGGGUCAUUCGAUACUGUUCGACUCGAAGGCAGGAGAGGGAAGUGGAAUUCCCGGUGUAGCGGUGAAAUGCGUAGAUAUCAGGAGGAACACCGGUGGCGAAGGCGGGUCUCUGGGCCGAAAUUGACGCUGAGGAGCGAAAGCGUGGGGAGCAAACAGG